CCAGGCUCCUCCUCUUGGCCAGGAGGCCGGGGCGGGACAUCUGCGCAGUCUGCAGGGCCAGCCAGUUCCCGUCCGGACUCUUCAGUACUGGGGACACCCCCGCCCCCCACAGAGAAGACACUUCUACUCUGCAGACGGUCUGAAAGGAACCAAACGACUGAAAGGAGACUUCUGCUCCUCCGUCUGCAGCGAAGAAACCUGAACUCCAGACGUGAUGCAGCUCAGGAUCUCACCUGCGUUGUCGAGUCGGUCGACGCUCUUCCAUCCAGUCAAGGGAGACCCGGCGCCCUCCUUCUGCAGGGCGGGGGAAGACUCCUGGAUCAGGGCGGCUUGGUCCUCGUCCAAC